CACUGCUAACCCAGCCAGCAUCAGGACACAAUUAUCACCUAAUAUAAAACAUACAGAAAGCUCUCACUAGACACAAAGCAAAAACAGAGAAAAUAUUUGAUAUUUGCUUUUCUUUUCCAUACAUAGCUUCCUUUGUCUGAAAUUAUCUUAAAUGCCAAGGAAAGAACAAAGAUCCUAGGAAAAGCAAUUCCAAUCUUUGCUAUCCAGACUUCACUGCUUAUUAAAAAGGUUUGGCAAACAAAACAAGAGUCUCCACCUACAGCUACUAAGCUUAUAAAAUCUGUGUCACGUUUUCCUUUCCAAAAAUAAAACCGCUCCACAUCCAUUUCUUAAGGUAAACAAUUCUUCAGGGGAAAAAAAAAAAACAUAUUAUUCUGCUGCCUGUUUUCAGGCUCAAACUCAUACAAAACCAGUUAUUGUUUUAGCUAAGUCGGCAAAAUUCCUUUCAUCCUUUGUACAGACAAAGCAAAUGUCAGAUUCUUUCGAUACUGUCACAGGCUCUUUUGUUUCUUUAUCGCUAGAUACGCAGAUCUUCUUUUGGACAGUCCCAAAGCCUUUCUCUCCACCAGAAGCCUGGAUCAUUGCUAAGGCUAGAAGACAGUGUUGGAUCCCUAACACUGGAGCUACAGAGAGCUGUAAGCCACCAUGUGGAUUCUGAAAACAAAACCCAGGUCCUCUGGAAGAGGAGACAGUGCUAAACCAUCUAUCUCUCCAGCCCCUCCACUGGACUCUUUCCUACUUUCACAGUCAAACAAAUGAAUGUUGGGUAAAAGGGAUGGGAUCCAGAAUAUGGACAGAGACAAGAGGAGGAAUAUUUAAAGAAGUAUAAGUUUAACCUCACAGUAAAGGAGCUAAAGCUUCCAAAUCACAGCAAUUUGUUCUGUAAAAUAAGAAAAUUAUCAAAUAGCAAGAAUAUCAGAGAUUGAGAAGAACUAAGAGAAUUGGAAAGUGAAAAUACAAACAAGAAGAUUCAGGUUAGCCAGGUAGUGGUGGCACACGCCUUUAAUCCCAGUACUCAAGAGGCAGAGGCAGGCGGAUCUCUGUGAGUUCAAGGCCAGCCUGGUCUACAAAGUGAGUUCCAGGACAGCCAGGGUUACACAAAGAAACCCUGUUUCGAAAAUUUAAAAAAAGAAAGGAAGGAAGGAAGGAAGGAAGGAAGGAAGGAAGGAAGGAAGGAAGGAAGGAAGGAAGGAAGGAAGGAAGGAAGGAAGGAGAAAACACAGUAACAAUGAUUACUAGUGAAAAACACUGAAAUCUAACAUUUAUCAAGAUUUUAUAGAAUACAGCACUCAUCAAAGUGGUAUGUCCUUACAACAGAAAGAGCCCAUUACAGAAACCAGAACUGAUCAAAAUGCAGAAAGCAAGUGACUAUAUGGUGUCCAGCUCCAACUAAUAUAUCUACAAUAUAACUCCUACAUCUAAAGAUCAGGAAUCAUUGCUGAAGAGCAGGUAAAAAAGACUGUGAGAGUCAGAGAAACAACAAGUUUGCUAUGACAUUUCAUCUCCUAGAAAUGUCAGAGAAGCUAAGCCCAUGAAGUAUUAACAUUUCUGCCUAAACAAGGAGGACAUCAAUAGGCAUUCUAACACAAAAUGGAGAAGUCACAUGAGGUCUCACCCAUAGACAUAGAACUACAGACAACUAAGGAAUGCUGAGAGUAGGGGAAAGAGCUCCCAAAUUGGUUAUCCAAUGCCAAGUGUCAGCCCUGAAAUCAUGUAACAAGUAACAUUACACAGACUGAGCUGGUUGUAUUCAUGUAUUUGGGAACGAACACACACACACACACACACACACACACACACACACACACACACACACACACGGAGGGGGGAGGUCAAAGAAAUAGAGGCCAUAAAUUUGAGAGAGCAAAGGAACAUGGGAAAGAAUGGAGGGAAGAAGGGAAGGGGGAAAUUAUGUAAUUACACUUCAAUCUCAAAACAUAAAACAAACUUAAAGGACCAACAAUCUGCUCCCCUGUAUGAUUUUAACAGGUCUUGGUAAGACAGAGAUAAAAAUGUUGCCAGAAAAAUUUACAAGAUAUACUGACCAAAAAAUAUGAAGAAAAAGAUUAUCAUAAUGUGAAAAGAAUAAGUUACUCAGCUAUGAAGUCUAUACUUAGAGGGAAGUAAAGAUUAAAGGUCAGGAACAAAGGAGAAGAAUCUACAGAGGUGCUCAGGAGUCUGGGAAGUAAUCUAUUUUAGAAUAAUUAAAUGAGGAAAACUAAUGGUGGUGGUGCACAUUUGUAAUCCCAUGGAACUCAGGAGAUGGAGGAGGCAAAAAGACCAGAAGUUCAAGACUAUUCUCAGCCCAGCCACAUGAGAUAUAUUUUAAACAUACAGAAGCAAAAUUAACUAAGCCACAUGCAAUGAACCAAGAAUUAAUUUUUCAAUUAAGCACAAAUUCAGAGAAAGAAAAGUAAUAAAACAACAACAACAAAAAAAAAAACACAAAAUAAGGGGUGGCUGCUUGGAAGACCCAGGGUGACCAACUUGGCUGCCAACUGGGCCCAGAUGCAGUGCUGAGUCUGUCCAUCGCAACAUCUAUCCCACCUACAAGCUGCUGGAGUGCAUGGAGGAGCAAGUAAUUGCCAAAGAUGAAAACUUGAAGCAUGUGACCACAAGAGACCCCUGGAGGCUCCAAGGGGAGAGGAGUAGAAAGAGGCUGUACUGGUAGUAGUGGAGUCUGCAAGAGACUGCAGUGUCUCUGGAACAACCAGAAAAGCGCAGGUCCUAUGGGAAGAUGUGAAUAUAUGAGACUCGGUAAUUUUUUUCUUUUUUUGUUUUGUUUUAGGGGAGAUCACAAGGGUGAGGGUGGAUCUAGGAGGACUGGAAGUGAAUGUGAUCAGGGUGCAUUAUGUGAAAUUUCCAAAUAAUCAAUAAAAAUAUUAUGUUAAAUAAAAAAGCACAUAAUAUUUGUAAACUAUAAUAAAAAUGUUUGUACACCUGCA